rnacentral:rRNA from 1 species
UACAGAGGGUGCGAGCGUUGUCCGGAAUCACUGGGCGUAAAGGGCGCGUAGGUGGCGAGCCAAGUCCAUGGUGAAAGCUCGAUGCUCAACAUCGAGUCGGCCACGGAUACUGGUGCGCUGGAGCACUGUAGAGGCUCAUGGAAUUCCGGGUGUAGCGGUGGAAUGCGUAGAGAUCCGGAAGAACACCGGUGGCGAAGGCGGUGAGCUGGGCAGUUGCUGACACUGAGGCGCGACAGCGUGGGGAGCGAACAGG